AUACAGAAACUCACUCUCUGAUAGCAUCAAUUUUACAUAUUUGUGGAUGGUUUAGGAUUUUCUAACUCUGCCUACUGCGCUGUUUGAGGGUUUUACCGAUUUGCAAUGCAGAACUGAAAGGCAGUCCUCAAAAGUACCAACAAGAUGUGUGAGACUGUAGCAGUAAAGACUGGGUUACGUUUUUGCAGGGAUUACAUUGCGAUUGGAUGUGUUGUUGGUGAAAAACUUGGUCUCGGGUUGUCUCGACUACAGGAUAGGAUUGAGGAAAGGAUCGAAAAGAGGUGGACUGAUUGGAAAAAAGGUAAAGAGAAUGGUGGUGUGUAAAGACAAGUUUAUGGUAAUGAGCUGGAAUUACGAGUACGGGUGACCUAUACUCAGCAGAAAACUAUUAAAAUGUGUUACGACUUGUAAUGGAUCGAUGUUGGUAAGAAUUUUAACCGGGCUCAGGAUUUGCAAGCUGAUGUGAAUAAAUUCUUUUUGGCUUGAAAGAUUAUUUUAGUGUGUAUAUAUG